CUCCAUCCGAGUCCCAAUGCAAUAAAAGUUAACAACUAUAGGUCAAAGUACUACCUUCAACACGAAACAUCGGCGCACACCAAUCAGCAAACUAUAAAUGCUAGUGUAAAACCAUUCAUACAGGAAGGUCUUAUCUACAUGUAUAUGAUAAUAUGAUAACCGAGAAACACAUGUGAACCACACCAACAAACGACAGCUACCGAACAAUAGGCUACUGAAUUAGGACAAGUGCUUUACUAUGCAGAAUGCGUUUGAUAUAUUAACUAGUAUUCUAAUAUGAAGUGCUUCUUUCGCUUUGUAAACAACACUGUGAUAAAAUUCUCCAUAUAUCUAUUCUUAGCGCAGACUCAGAGAUAUACAAAAUAUUGGCUGUUACAAUAUACUUCCCACGUAAAUCCACAUGUAUUGGAAUCUAUUUACAAACCAUUUGCCAUUUGCCAAUUAAAUUGUUUCAAAAAUUGUAGU
rnacentral:lncRNA from 1 species